AAGUCGUAACAAGGUUUCCGUAGGUGAACCUGCGGAAGGAUCAUUAAAAGAGGGUCGCAAGACCUAUUUUUAAAACCUACCACCACCUCUCAUUGGGAUCUCUUCUUGGGAUGGAGGAGGUAUGGUUUUUUAAAGUCCAAUUAUUACAAAACAUAUAUCGUCUAACGACGAAACAAAAUAAAUAUUUAAAAACUUUCAACAAUGGAUCUCUUGGCUCUC
rnacentral:misc_RNA from 1 species